AUACGGAGGAUCCAAGCGUUAUCCGGAAUCAUUGGGUUUAAAGGGUCCGUAGGCGGAUUAGUAAGUCAGGGGUGAAAGUUUGCGGCUUAACCGUAAAAUUGCCUUUGAUACUGCUAGUCUUGAAUAAUUAUGAAGUAGCUAGAAUAUGUAGUGUAGCGGUGAAAUGCUUAGAUAUUACAUGGAAUACCGAUUGCGAAGGCAGGUUACUAAUAAUUUAUUGACGCUGAUGGACGAAAGCGUGGGGAGCGAACAGGAUUAGAUACCCUGGUAGUCCACGCUGUAAACGAUGGAUACUAGCUGUUUGACCGCAAGGUUGAGUGGCUAAGCGAAAGUGAUAAGUAUCCCACCUGGGGAGUACGUUCGCAAGAAUGAA
rnacentral:rRNA from 1 species